rnacentral:rRNA from 1 species
AACGGGAUUUAGUAGACAGAAGCUUCGGUGGAAGAUUACUAAUGAGAGUGGCGAACGGGUGAGUAACGCGUGAGCAACCUGCCUAUGACAGUGGGAUAGCCUCGGGAAACCGGGAUUAAUACCGCAUAAAAUCGUAGAAACACAUGUUUUAACGGUCAAAGAUUUAUCGGUCAUAGAUGGGCUCGCGUCUGAUUAGCUAGUUGGUGAGAUAACAGCCCACCAAGGCGACGAUCAGUAGCCGGUCUGAGAGGAUGAACGGCCACAUUGGAACUGAGACACGGUCCAAACUCCUACGGGAGGCAGCAGUGGGGAAUAUUGCACAAUGGGGGAAACCCUGAUGCAGCGACGCCGCGUGAACGAAGAAGGUAUUCGUAUCGUAAAGUUCUGUCCUAUGGGAAGAUAAUGACAGUACCAUAGAAGAAAGCUCCGGCUAAAUAC